ensembl:snRNA U6 U6 spliceosomal RNA
GUGCUCACUUCAGCAGCACAUGUAGUAAAAUAGGGACAGUACAGAGCUUAGCAGGGUCCCUGUGCGAGAAUGACAUGUGAAUUCGGGAAGUGUUCCAUAUUUUC